GACGAACGCUGGCGGCGUGCCUAAUACAUGCAAGUAGAACGCUGAAGGAGGAGCUUGCUUCUCCGGAUGAGUUGCGAACGGGUGAGUAACGCGUAGGUAACCUGCCUUGUAGCGGGGGAUAACUAUUGGAAACGAUAGCUAAUACCGCAUAAGAGUAGAUGUCGCAUGACAGUUGCUUAAAAGGUGCAACUGCACCACUACCACAUGGACCUGCGUUGUAUUAGCUAGGUGGUGAGGUAACGGCGCACCAAGGCAAGGAUACAUAGCGAGACGGAGAUGGGGAUCGGCCAGCCUGGGAGUGAGACCGGGCACAGAGUGCUACAGGAGGCAGCCGUAGGCAAUCUGCGGGAAUGGACGGAAGUUUGAGCGCGAAACGCGGAGUGAGGGAGGAAGGUCUUCGGAUCGGAAAGCUCUGCUGUAAGAGAAGAACGAGUGUGCGAGUGGAAAGUUGAGAGUGUGACGGUAUCUUACAAGAAAGGGCCGGCUAACUACGUG
rnacentral:rRNA from 1 species